rnacentral:tRNA from 1 species
GUGGUCGUAGCUCAGUUGGUUAGAGCGUCGGAUUGUGGUUCCGAAGGUCGCGGGUUCGAGCCCCGUCUUCCACCCCA